UACGUAGGGAGCGAGCGUUAUCCGGAUUUACUGGGUGUAAAGGGCGUGUAGGCGGGACGGCAAGUCAGAUGUGAAAACUAUGGGCUCAACCCAUAGCCUGCAUUUGAAACUGUUGUUCUUGAGUGCUGGAGAGGCAAAUGGAACUCCUAGUGUAGCGGUGAAAUGCGUAGAUAUUAGGAAGAACACCAGUGGCGAAGGCGAUUUGCUGGACAGUAACUGACGCUGAUGCGCGAAAGUGUGGGGAG
rnacentral:rRNA from 1 species